rnacentral:rRNA from 1 species
UACGGAGGGUGCAAGCGUUAUCCGGAUUUACUGGGUUUAAAGGGCGCGUAGGCGGGCUGUCAAGUCUGGGGUGAAAGCCCAAGGCUCAACCUUGGAAUUGCCUUUGAUACUGUUUGGCUUGAGACCGGAAGAGGUUAGUGGAACUGCGAGUGUAGAGGUGAAAUUCGUAGAUAUUCGCAAGAACACCAGUGGCGAAGGCGGCUAACUGGUCCGGUUCUGACGCUGAGGUGCGAAAGCGUGGGGAGCAAACAGG